rnacentral:rRNA from 1 species
CACGUAGGGGGCGAGCGUUGUUCGGAAUUACUGGGCGUAAAGGGCAUGUAGGCGGCCCUAUAAGCCUGGCGUGAAAGUCACCGGCUCAACCGGUGGAUUGCGCUGGGAACUGUGGGGCUCGAGUCAUGGAGAGGGAGCUAGAAUUCCUGGUGUAGGGGUGAAAUCUGUAGAGAUCAGGAAGAAUACCAGUGGCGAAGGCGAGCUCCUGGCCAAUGACUGACGCUGAGGUGCGAAAGUGUGGGGAUCAAACAGG